rnacentral:lncRNA from 1 species
CAUCAUCACUUCAUCCCUUAAAACACUGUGCUGUCUCCUAGAGGACUUCCACACAGAACCCCUCCACCUAAGGGACUCGUCUUUACAUCCUGAUUCUCAGGGUCUUGGAGCCACUGCUACCUUUAGGCAACUCUCCUUCUCUCACCCCAGCACUUGUGUCAACCCCUAUCUCCUCUCUCCUUGGAGCAGCCAGCUAAAGUCUCCUUCCACAUGAGGGUCUGGACAGGACUGUACAACAGGUAUCUCACAACUUCUGUUUGGGUUCAGGAAACAUGAAAGCCAUUAAUAACUACUGAAUCCAGAAGCCCAGAACUUCCUGUAAGACAAAUGAGGAAAGAUUAGGGCACAGUUCUGAGUGUUAAUCCAUGUGAAGGCUGCCUCAAGAAAGCUGAUUCCCUUAGGCAGCACCUGGUACCAGAGAAAUUCACAGUGCCUGAAGCUGGGAUCUGGGGUUCCCAUACCCAAGCCACAUCAAGAGUCCUGCUUUCCCAUAGGAACUGGAAUCUGGGAAAAAGGAAAACAGUACUAGAAGCAGAACAAGAGUGUGGGAUCACUCCUGGGUGGUACUGUCACCUCAUUUGGACAGUUCACUGCCUAGAUGUGCUGAGUGUGCAAAUUCUGUCUCGUUGCCUCAUCCAGUGUUUCUCUGAAUAGAAGCAAAUAUCUGGGCACCAGACUCUCUCCUGGCUUUGAUGAAGCAAGCUGCCAUGUUGGAGAGGCCUACAUGACAAGGAACUGAAGGUUGCCUCCAGCCAACUCCAGCCAACAGCCAUCCAGGAAUUGAGGCUCUCAGUCCAACAGGCCUUGAGGAACUGCAUCCAGCCAGCAACUGUAGAAGUGAGCAAAGAAGUGUGUAUUUCCCCAGUCAAGCCUUCAGCUGAGACCCCAGCCCCAGCUGACACCUUAAUUGCAGCCUUGUGAGAGACCUUGGAGCAGAGAACCCAGGUAGGCCUUGCCUACAUUCCUCACCAACAGAAACUAUGAAUUAAUAAAUACUUGGUUUUUUAAGCCACUAACUUUUGGGGUAUUUGUUAUAUAGUAACUAACACACCCCUAAAUUACUGUAACCUUGGUGUAAGAUGCAGCAUGGCUGGGAAGGCAGGCAGCAGAUGAGAGGACAACCUCCUUGACAACAUUCCUGGAGAUACUGUCUUCAAUCUCGAAGACUAUCCCAAGUUCUCUUAGCUGCAGUGGUAUCAUUGUGCUCCCCCCAGCCCUGAUUAGGCUCCAGGAGAUUCUUCGGCGGGACCCACCCAGUUCCUGGACCCUGCCCUGGCCACUCCAGUGUCCACAAUCGCAAAACCCAUCCAUACACACACCUGCACUGACUGCUCACCUGUGAGAUACUCAGGAAUCAGCAACGUUUUCUAAAUGAAGGUAAGUUACGGUUUUCAGGAAAAUAUUCCUAUCUCUGGUCCUUUUCAGAGCUGCGAGUUCUCUCCUCCCUUCUGCUCCAGGAAAGGUAGAGGAAGGGGAAGGGUGGACUGCUCCCCAUUUUCGUUAGGGUCAGCUGAGGCGUGGGGAC